rnacentral:rRNA from 1 species
UACGUAGGGAGCAAGCGUUGUUCGGAUUUACUGGGCGUAAAGGGCGCGUAGGCGGCAAUUCAAGUCAUCUGUGAAAUCUCCGGGCUUAACCCGGAACGGUCAGAUGAUACUGUUUUGCUAGAGUGCAGAAGGGGCAAUCGGAAUUCUUGGUGUAGCGGUGAAAUGCGUAGAUAUCAAGAGGAACACCUGAGGUGAAGACGGGUUGCUGGGCUGACACUGACGCUGAGGCGCGAAAGCCAGGGGAGCAAACAGG